rnacentral:tRNA from 1 species
GGGCCUAUAGCUCAGUUGGAAGAGCACAGCCCUGAUAAGGCUGGGGUCAGUGGUUCAACCCCACUUAGGCCCACCA